CUGGAGACUUUCCUGACUUUGGAAUCAUUUCAAUCUCCUCAAACUUCACCUGCAAGAGAGAUUUUUAUUUGAAUAAGACAUUUUUAAGCAUGCAUUAAA